rnacentral:rRNA from 1 species
AGUGAACGCUGGCGGUAGGCCUAACACAUGCAAGUCGAACGGCAGCACAGGAGAGCUUGCUCUCUGGGUGGCGAGUGGCGGACGGGUGAGGAAUACAUCGGAAUCUACUUUUUCGUGGGGGAUAACGUAGGGAAACUUACGUUAAUACCGCAUACGACCUACGGGUGAAAGCAGGGGACCUUCGGGCCUUGCGCGAUUGAAUGAGCCGAUGUCGGAUUAGCUAGUUGGCGGGGUAAAGGCCCACCAAGGCGACGAUCCGUAGCUGGUCUGAGAGGAUGAUCAGCCACACUGGAACUGAGACACGGUCCAGACUCCUACGGGAGGCAGCAGUGGGGAAUAUUGGACAAUGGGCGCAAGCCUGAUCCAGCCAUACCGCGUGGGUGAAGAAGGCCUUCGGGUUGUAAAGCCCUUUUGUUGGGAAAGAAAUCCAGCUGGUUAAUACCCGGUUGGGAUGACGGUACCCAAAGAAUAAGCACCGGCUAACUUCGUGCCAGCCGCCGCCGUAAUAC